rfam:Asian citrus Psyllid, Diaphorina citri - Florida Strain, whole genome shotgun sequence.
GCCUAGUUAGCUUGGUUGGUACCGCGUCUGCCUUGUAAGCGCUAGGCCGCGGGUUCGAUUCCCGCCCGGGGCG